rnacentral:lncRNA from 1 species
UUUUUUUUUUUUUUUUUUUUUUUUUUGGUAUUUUGUCUUUUUAGGGCCACACCCUUGGCUUAUGGAGGUUUUCAGGCUAGUGGUCGAAUCCGAGCUCAGCUGACCGCCUAUGCCACAGCCACAGCCACAGCAACGCGGGAUCCGAGCCACAUAUGCAACCUACAUGGUCAUGGCAAUGCUGGAUCCUUAACCCACUGAGCAAGGCCAGGGAUUGAACCCGUGUCUUCAUGGAUACUGUUUGGGUUCGUUAAUGACUGAGCCACUGCAGGAACUCUGGUACAACAUCUAUUUUAAACUAGAUAGACAAAUGGAUUUUAAUUAACCAAUCAUUUUUAAUGUAACCAAUGUAAUGUAAUCAAUGUAAAUCAUUGAUAUGUCUUCAAAUUCUACACGGCAACUAAGUUUUAAGAAACUAUCAUUUCUUGAGUUUGGUGUAAUAUCAAAGAUGAAUAUUCACAGUUAUUUGAAAGACUGUUAUGGUAUUCUUCUCUUUUCCAAAUUCAGAACUCUGGGUGAAUGGAUUUUCUUCCUAUUCUUAAAUAAAAAUAUGCUGUGACAAACAAUUCAGCAACAGAUGUGCAAAUCCAGGUCUACUCUAUUAAGGCAGGCAUUAAAUAGACUUUCAAAAUAUAAAUCAAAGUCAGUUUUCUCACUAUCUCUUCUUAUUUUAGAAAAUAUGCUAAUUUCUCAUAAAAACAAGUUAUUUAUGUUAACUUGAAUUGGGCAUAUUAUGAUAAUUUUUAAUGAAUUGAGAAGUUUUUAAUUUUCUUAAAUUUUAAUUUCUGUUAUGAUAUACAUAUUGCCACAUAAAUAAAAGCCUUUUUAAAGCUCCAAUAACUUUUAGGUGUAUAAAGGGUUCUGAAGAACAAAAGAUUUGUGAACCUCUGGUAGAGAACACUACAUUAGAGGACUUCUUGUCAAAUUUCUUCUCCUGUUGUCUCCUCAUUUAAAAUUAUCUUCCCAACCUUCUGCUUUCUACAUCGGUUCAGGCCUUGGUUCCUCUGUAGUCUGCUCCUCUCAUUAACACCCUAGCUCUGUUAACAGGAUCCUGCUCUGAUGCCCCUUAAGACUGGGAGCUUAUUUCUAUACCCCACCCUCCAAACGCAAGGCAUCAGCCACUGUUCCUAGAACUACUUCGUGCAUUGGUGGGUCUGCCUAACCUCUACCUGUUGGUCCCCUCAUAGCCUUGGUCAUUUUAAUUACAUUUUUUCUUCUCUCAACUAAUAGUGACCAAAGAUAGAACUUACCGGGGGAUCACUAUCGGCCAAACAGAGUUAAGACAAGGGUAGAGAAAAUGGGGAUGAGGAUUGAAAGAGACUUAAUUUUAUUUACAAAAAUAUGGUACACAAUUAUAUGAACAAAAGAAAUAACAAGGAAAUGAGAACAAGUAUAUAGAUUCUCAUUUUCCCAUUGUUAUACACCACUGUCUAGCAUUCUAAGCUACAUUUAUUAAUAUUUCUCUCCAAAUAUAGAUCACCCUGAAAAUUUUCCUGUACAUCUUUUAGAUAUUUCUAUCUUGAAUCACUUCAUAGAUGAUAUCAAAAGAUCAUAGGACAACAUUAUAAGAUGGAAGUAUUGAAAUAAACUCUAUGAGAAAACAAAAGCUUUAAAGUUCAAUAAACAUAUUUGCUUGUUUAUUACACACUAAUAAAGUCAAGUUCACUAGAACUUAGCCUAUGUUACCUUAUUUAAUGCUCACGAUAAUCAAAUGACUUAAAAAUAAUUAUUAUUCCUACUUUACAGAGAAUAGGGGCAAAAGAAUUAAAUAAUUUGUGCAAAGCUUUAUGGCUGGUAAGUGGUAGAAUUGGGAUUCAAACCAGGCCAUUUUGCCUUUACUGCAUGUAUCUCCCGUCCACAUUUACAUCACCUCAUUCAUUCACUUAAUUCUUUAUUGCAUGCCUAGAACAGUAAUGAGCAUCCUUCGAGGCCAAUCAGAACCUGAGGCCAGAGAAAUGAGGUGACUUGUGGAGGUCCAAUCAGAUGGGUUGGGGUCUGGGAAUGAAACUCUGGUCCCAACUCUCAAGCACAGGUUCAUUUUUCUGAGCAGCCAGAGGUUGAGGUGUAAUUCACACGAUGAGUCCUGCUUCUUUGUGAUAUUUGUCCAGAUAGACUUGUUUGAAUGUAAAGAAUGAGGAGGGUCUAUGCAACUGCAUAGGUAAGACUGAGUAGAAUUUUAAAAAAAAUUAGAAACAAGAAACUCAUGAGACAGUAUUUUUAAAAUCUGUGUAACUUGGAAGAGUGAUGUCUUUAAUGUAAAUGUUUAAUAUUCCAAACCUCUGAAUCUGAUUGCAAUCUCAUUAGUACCAAUAUUCAAAUCCAGGGAGUUCUGAUGUUCCACUAACCUAUGUAGGAAGUCCAGACCUAUCUGGUCCUUGAAGUAUUUCUGGGAAUUCCCAGCGGUCCCCUUAAGGGUGUGUCCAUGUAUCAGACUACCCUUGUCGCCUACUGCAGGCAGUCAGCAGCCACUGCUCAGUGCCAGUCGCUGCCAGUUCUCCCACGAAGGGAGGGAGGGGGAGAAUAUGGCCUUUCCCCUUGGGCUCAGCUCCGCUGUGGAGGGCCACAGCUAUUGCAUCCCUCAGUACUGCCAAGUUGGAGAAAAGCUCCAGCUAUUUUCACACACAGCCCUUCUCCCCAACUGCUCACAGGCCCAGAACUAAUAUAUUGGUUCUGUUCCCAUGCCGGAUGUACCAAGCAAGACUGCUUCUUAUCUUGUGAUGAAUUUUUCUCUCGUGGUAUUAGAAUAGUCCUUCUUAGACUCAGUCCUGUCUCACACCAAUGACAAUGGCAGCUAGAAAUAUCUCCCUAUAGCUUUACCCCUAGUUAAUCUAUGUGGGAAACACAUACACUGUGGGGAUGUGAGGGUGAGAAGUGGGGGAAAACAAGGAACAGUAGUCAUCCAAUUUCACAGGAAAAUGUACCUAUCAUUGGCCUGUCUAGCUCAGUCAGAGCACCUGUUACAGACAUAUGGAACAGAAAAUUCCUGUGAAUAGACCCCUCCCUCUGCCAGCAGCAUGGCUGUAGCCAGCCAAUUUCUUAACUGGUAGUUUUUUGUUUAUUUUAUUUUCUUAUAUUUUUGCUUUUUAGGGCCACACUCAUUGCAUAUAGAAGUUCCCAGGCUAGGAGUCCAACCGGAGCUAUAGCUGCUGGCCUACACUGCAACCACAGCAACGCAGGAUCCGAGUUGCAUCUGUGAGCUACACCACGGCUCAUGGCAACACGGGAUCUUUAACCCACUGUGUGAGGCCAGGGAUGGAAUCUACAUCCUGGUGGAUACUAGCCAGGUUCAUAACCCACUGAGCCACAACAGGAACUCGCUUCACUAGUAGUUUUUCAGACACUGGCAUAAAUUCCUCUGUUUUAAGCACAAUAUCUACAAUGUUUCAACAAUAUAUUUUACUGGAAAGAAAGGGACUUCUAGAUUUCUGUCGCAAACCGUCAAAAUUCAGUGUUCCCAAACACACAUUCUUUAUAAUCUUUAUAAUCACUUAUGUGUCUUGGAGGUCAACCUUAGACAUGCUCUACCAUGCAGGCAGGAACAUGGGUAGCGAGAGGGACAAUUUUGAAUGUUCCACAUAGAAUUGUGUCAUAGAAAAAGUAUUUACCACUUGUUAAAAUAGUACAGAAGAUUUUAUUCAAGACCAUUCCAAGAGGGGAGAAAGACCAAACUCAAUUCUGAAUACAAUCAAGACAAGUGGGUGAUUUAUAGCCGAUUACAGUUAGAGUGAAGGAUUUAGUGGAUGGACAAUCACUGAGGAUAUACAAAGUCAGGGGGAUUCUUUCUAAACUAGCCUGAUGAGAUUCUUGCUAAAGACAGGUCAAGUUCAGGCGUAAUCGAGAAGAGAGUUAAGAAGAGCUUGACUAAACCUUGGUCAAGGAGGGCUGAACACAACAUUCCGGCUUUGAGAUCUAUGUUCCAAAAGCUCUGAAAUGUGAAGAGGGUCUGUUUGCUUAUUGCACUUCAGUAUUUAUUCAUUCAGCUUUGCUCAAGUGGUAAAUUUCUAAUCAACUCAAUUUGGAAAGGUGUUAUUUUGCAACUUUUUCAAAAAUUCAUAAAGGAAGCUGAAAUAUGGGGAGUGUGCAAAUCAUAGUAUUCAAAUAAUUAGACAGUAAUAUCUCUGGAUUCCCCUAUCCUUAAUAUCCAUGCACUUACCUAUUUAUUCUAUAAAUGAUGGCUACCAUCCCUUUUCAGUCCUUUCUUCUAUAUCUCUCCUUUUCCUACCUGCACCUGUAACCUUACCAAUUUAUCACACAGUCACUCAUUUAGGGGGAAAAAAUCUGGAAAGCAAAACCUGUUUCAUCCUUUGUAAUGUACUUAGAUAGAAAGUGCUUUCCAUAAUCCACAAUCAUUCUGCAGCUAGAAAAGACUCUUAACAGUCAUCUCUUCCAGCUCUCUCACUUAAUAAUUCAGGAAACUGAGGUCCAGACCAGUUGGUGAUUUAAUUAAAUUUUCAUAGUUAAUACUAAAAAUAAAUGUAUUUUCACACCUGAAGUUUAAAGUCCAUUCCAGUAUUAAAAAUCAUGAAAUUACAUUUUUUUAAAUCCUGAGCUGACCAUAACAGAAAAUACCAGUUUCUCCUGCUUCCCUAAGAGGUGAGUUAGGAGAAUUGGUCACUUCUAUUUUUAACAAAGAAAGAGUUGAUAAGAUACUGUCUGAAUUGAAGAAUUUCUAGAAACUUGAAUGGUCUAAAAAUAUUAACUUUAUGUUUGGGACAGAAUUUUGCUAGAAUCACAUUACCCAGUGUUCAGAAAUGGAAAUAAACAGUCUCCAAUCAGAAGACUUGACUGAGGCGAAUGGGUGACUCUAUGGGGCCACUAAUUCAUAUGCAGAAGGAAGACACAUGAGCCCAGGGAAUUAUAGUCACUAUCCAGUGAUAAGCCAUACUGGAAAAGAAUAUGAAAAAAAAAAAUGGGUAUAUGUAUACGUACAACCAAAUUAUUUUGUUUUACAGCAGAAAUUGACAUAACGUUGUAAAUCAAUUGUGCUUCAAUAAGAUAAAAGAAAAAA